GUCAUUUGGUGUCUGUUCAAAACAAUAAGAGCACCCUGAUUAUGCUGGGCCCCCACAAAGACAACGAGACCUUCUCUUCCUGGACUGCACACUCAGUUUACAUAGACAAGGACGUCCUCUGCCCCCUCCCUACCCCUCCAAAUCAGGCCAGAAAUUCCGCCUUCUAUUUUCUUUCUGGCUGAGAGAUACCAGCAGUUACAGUUUCUCUGGGCCACCAUUCAGUGCCAGGCAAUGCACUGAUAAGCUCUUUGCUGCAUUAUCACUAAUCUUAUCAACCAGGCAUGAUUUUCUCCACUUUAUAGAUGAGGUCAACUCAAGCUCAUUAAAAUUAAGUGAUUUGGCUCUAGGACUGCCUGACUCCUUGUUGCUGCAUGUCACGACCUACCUAAGCUACUCUUUCUCACUUUCUGUGAGUUCUGUUAUUAUGUAACCACAUUUUUAGGGAUGUUGAUUUUUAGUUGAUAUUUAGUGAUUAAAAUCACCAUGGAACUGCAGAAAUUUCCCCUAAAUGACCCAGAUGAAUUCCUGAAACCCAGCAAAGAAGGAGGGAAAUAACAAUUUUUUUUUUUUUUUUUUUGAGAUGGAGUCUUGCUCUGUCGCCCAGGCUGGAGUGCAGUGGCGCGAUCUCGGCUCACUGCAAUCUCCAGCUCCUGGGUUCAAGUGAUUCUCCUGCCUCAGCCUCCCAAGUAGCUGGGAUUACGGUGCAUGCCAACAUGCCCAGCUAGUUUUUAUAUUUUUAGUAGAGACGGG
rnacentral:lncRNA from 1 species